rnacentral:sRNA from 1 species
GGAUGUGAGAAUGAUCUGCUGCAACAUCUGUCACCUCACUGAAUACUAGGUUUGGUUCUGCUGAUCUGGCUGGCCAGACAGAUGUCCCUUUCCUCCCUCACUGCUCCAUGUGCAUCUCCCCUGGAGCUGCAUACUUUGUUGAAGAGGAUGACCACUCUUGAUAGAGGGGACAUUUCCUUGGCCAAGGGUACAUGAGUAGCUGUGCUCCCCUGCUAUCACCUCCAAGCAAGCUCUCAAGAAAGUAAGCUUGCCCUUCAAUUCUGAUAUUUUCUGAUAUU